CUACGUAGGGGGCGAGCGUUGUCCGGAAUGACUGGGCGUAAAGGGCGUGUAGGCGGCCUGAUAAGUCUGGAGUGAAAGUCCUGCUUUCAAGGUGGGAAUUGCUUUGGAGACUGUCGGGCUUGAGUGCGGAAGAGGUAAGUGGAAUUCCCAGUGUAGCGGUGAAAUGCGUAGAGAUUGGGAGGAACACCAGUGGCGAGGGCGACUUACUGGGCCGUAACUGACGCUGAGGCGCGAAAGCGUGGGGAGCGAACAGGAUUAGAUACCCUGGUAGUCCACGCGGUAAACGAUGAAUGCUAGGUGUAGGGGGUAUCGACCCCUCCUGUGCCGGAGUAAACACAAUAAGCAUUCCGCCUGGGGAGUACGGCCGCAAGGUUGAAACUCAAAUGAAUUGACGGGG
rnacentral:rRNA from 1 species